UACAGAGGGGCAAGCGUUAUUCGGAAUUAUUGGGCGUAAAGGGCGCGUAGGCGGCCUGGCAAGUGGAAGGUGAAAUCCCUCGGCUUAACCGGAGGAACUGCCUCCCAAACUGCUUGGCUCGAGACCGGGAGAGGUGAGUGGAACUCCCAGUGUAGCGGUGAAAUGCGUAGAUAUUGGGAGGAACACCAGUGGCGAAGGCGGCUCACUGGACCGGUACUGGACGCUGAUGCGCGAAAGCGUGGGGAGCAAACGGG
rnacentral:rRNA from 1 species